rnacentral:lncRNA from 1 species
UUGCAGAUCGGCAAACCAGCAGGGAACAGCGUGCUGUCCGAUGGUGACCUUUGCUGAAAUGUUGGGCCUCUCUGAAAAGAAGUGGAAGUACCUUAAUCCGGGAAAUACUGUUGUUGUUCAUCAGUUAAGGUGGUCGUCGUGAUUCUUCCGACCCCUUUGCACAAUGCCGUGUAUUGUGCAUAUAUGCAACUAUUGUCAGGAAUCAGGAUAUGGCUUCCAUGGGCCAUGGCACGUGCCAACUCCCCUCUUGAUAGGAAAUAUAGGAAGUCGGUGAUAUAGGUAGUGUUUGCCCAGCGUUUCCAGUGAUGUAUCAUGCAUGCGUUUGAGAUGCUUGAGGGAAAAACAUAGGAUCAGUAGGCUGUAUCCCCCUUUAUACCGGAAUGUACAUACAAAUACUAGUAGAAAAGCCUCGUUCACUCUCCAGACUAUCGCUGGGCGACAGAUCGAAUUAUCCGCUGUUCGGUUUGGGGAUCACAGCAGCAACUGGCAACUCAAGGUCAGGGACUGAACUGAACACAAACCCCCUUUUCACUCGGCGCUAUCGAAGUAUCGAUGUAAAAUGUAUCACGCAUGAGUGAUGUAGACCAAUCGAAGCGGGAGACGGGGAGAGGAUGCUAACCGGUAGCGAGGUGGCCGUCGGCAGCGGCUGCGGCGUAGCAGCUGCUGAAAGGGUCGGAGCUGCUGAGGGUACGAUACGGAAGCGCCACGCGAAGAGGCGGAGGAGCGUGGAGGCGCGCUGUCGGCGCCGCCCCCCAACCCCAAGCGCGUCGCGAUCUGUCCCGUCUCAUCUAGCCAACCGGCCAACUCCAGUACCGCCCGCGUAGCAGCACCACGCGGCUGAGCUUGAAGCUGUGGCCGCGUGGGAGGCUGGGAAAUGGGAGCUGCGCCCGAAAGGCGCUCGACUAAAUGCGUAGGCGCGCGGAGGAAGAGGAUGCUUUCGACC